rnacentral:rRNA from 1 species
AUUGAACGCUGGCGGCAUGCCUUACACAUGCAAGUCGAACGGCAGUAUGGAGAGCUUGCUCUCUGAUGGCGAGUGGCGAACGGGUGAGUAAUGCAUCGGAACGUACCGUGUAAUGGGGGAUAACGUAGCGAAAGUUACGCUAAUACCGCAUACGACCUGAGGGUGAAAGCAGGGGAUCGCAAGACCUUGCGUUAUACGAGCGGCCGAUGUCAGAUUAGCUAGUUGGUGAGGGAAAGGCUCACCAAGGCGACGAUCUGUAGCGGGUCUGAGAGGAUGAUCCGCCACACUGGGACUGAGACCCGGCCCAGACUCCUACGGGAGGCAGCAGUGGGGAAUUUUGGACAAUGGGGGCAACCCUGAUCCAGCCAUGCCGCGUGAGUGAAGAAGGCCUUCGGGUUGUAAAGCUCUUUCGGCCGGGAAGAAAUCGCACAGGCUAAUACUCUGUGUGGAUGACGGUACCGGCAUAAGAAGCACCGGCUAACUACGUGCCAGCAGCCGCAGUAA